AAGUCGUAACAAGGUUUCCGUAGGUGAACCUGCGGAAGGAUCAUUAUCGAAUAAACUUGAACAGGCUGUUUUUGCUGGCCCUUUUCAAAAAGGGUAUGUGCACGCUUGUCCACCUUUAUCAUUUCUCCAAUUGUGCACAUUUUGUAGACCCUGGAGCCUUUUUUGAAUUUCUAUUCGAGUCGGGACUGCUGCGUUCUUUUGAGCCAGCUUUGCCUUGCAUUCUUCAGGUCUAUGUCAUUUUUCACAACCCCUCUCAUACGUGUUUAGAAUGUUGGAUGUACCUAUAAAAGUUGGAAAAUAUACAACUUUCAGCAACGGAUCUCUUGGCUCUCGCAUCGAUGAAGAACGCAGCGAAAUGCGAUAAGUAAUGUGAAUUGCAGAAUUCAGUGAAUCAUCGAAUCUUUGAACGCAUCUUGCGCUCCUUGGUAUUCCGAGGAGCAUGCCUGUUUGAGUGUCAUUUAACUUCUCAACCACUGAUGUGGCUUGGACAUGGGGGUUGUUUGCAGGCUUUUGUUUCAAAAGGUCGGCUCCCCUGAAAUGCAUUAGUGGUGUCUGAGCCGCUACUAUAGGUGUGAUAAUUAUCUAUGCCUUUGGUAUGCUGCAUGGACAGAUUGUGCUGCUUUGAAAUGAAUUUGAUGAAUUUGACCUCAAAUCAGGUAGGACUACCCGCUGAACUUAAGCAUAUCAAUAAGCGGAGGAAAAGAAACUAACAAGGAUUCCCCUAGUAACUGCGAGUGAAGCGGGAAAAGCUCAAAUUUGAAAUCUGGCGGUUCUUGAACUGUCCGAGUUGUAAUCUAGAGAAGUGUUACCUGUGCUGGACCGUGUACAAGUCUCCUGGAAUGGAGCAUCACAGAGGGUGAGAAUCCCGUCUUUGACACGGACUACCUGUACGAUGUGGUGCGCUCUCGAAGAGUCGAGUUGUUUGGGAAUGCAGCUCAAAAUGGGUGGUAAAUGCCAUCUAAAGCUAAAUAUUGGCGAGAGACCGAUAGCGAACAAGUACCGUGAGGGAAAGAUGAAAAGAACUUUGGAAAGAGAGUUAAACAGUACGUGAAAUUGCUGAAAGGGAAACGCUUGAAGUCAGUCGCGUCGGCUGGAAAUCAACCUUGCUCUUGCUUGGUGUACUUUCUGGUUGAUGGGUCAGCAUCAAUUUUGACCAUCGGAUAAAGUCAUUGGGAAUGUGGCAUCUUAGGAUGUGUUAUAGCCCUUUGUCGCAUACGGUGGUUGGGAUUGAGGAACUCAGCACGCCGCGAGGCCGGGUCUUUGGACCACGUUCGUGCUUAGGAUGCUGGCAUAAUGGCUUUAAUCGACC
rnacentral:rRNA from 1 species